rnacentral:rRNA from 1 species
UACAGAGGUCCCAAGCGUUGUUCGGAAUUACUGGGCGUAAAGGGCUCGUAGGCGGCCAACUAAGUCAGACGUGAAAUCCCUCAGCUUAACUGGGGAACUGCGUCUGAUACUGGAUGGCUUGGAUUCGGGAGAGGAAUGCGGAAUUCCAGGUGUAGCGGUGAAAUGCGUAGAUAUCUGGAGGAACACCGGUGGCGAAGGCGGCAUUCUGGACCGAUAUUGACGCUGAGGAGCGAAAGCCAGGGGAGCAAACGGG